ACUUCUAACGGUUUCCUCUUUAUCCUAGGCGUAUCACAGCAAGAAGACCAUUGUGAAUCCUUUAGUAGAGGGCAGCAUCGCCAAGCUAUGAAAAGGACCUACAGAUAUCAUACAGCGGGGGUUGUGGAUGACAUAAAGAAAAUCGACAAUAGAGACGCCAGCAUCCACAAGCGCCUAUCCUGGAACUACUCUAGUCAAGAGCAAAGGCCCCCCAAUGAGGACCAGACCUAGCAUACAAUAAUGAAUCCUAUUGUGUCUUGUAUAGUGAUGUUCUACCUUAUAGUUUGUACACUAGCUGAACUACAAAAUAUUUUAGAAAGACUCUUAUAGAAAGUUUCAAAAGCAGCUUGGGUUUAUUGGGAUUGUAUUCUUCAACAGUGGACCAAACCACAAUAUCAUUUUUGUGUAUUAUUUUGCCAAAGCUAUUGGCACUUUUUGACAUUCCAUAUACAUUCCAUGGUAAACCCGAGCGAUAACUGUACCUAAUCAAAUUCUAUCAGGCCUAAUAUUCAAACGAUUUUUAUAAAACAUUUGGAUUUAGAGACUCUAGUUUGCUUUUUCAUUAAAUAACAGUUUGAGUGAAUCCGAGAAAAACGAAUUGUGUUUUUAGGUUUUUCUCCGGAUCACGCGAGCUUCAUUUUGGAGUGGAUGACAUUUUAGAUGAGUAACUAUUUGAAAAAAAUUAUGUUUAUUUUAAACGAUCCGUACAAUGAACUUUAUAUUUUAGAAAACACGUUUAUUUAUUUCCUCGAGAAUAAUAUAUUUAUUUUUAAAUGUUAAACAACAGAUGUACAUUAUUUGUUAUAUUUAUUACUGAUUAAUAAAUAAAGUAUUGAUGAUGGA